AUUGAACGCUGGCGGCAGGCCUAACACAUGCAAGUCGAACGAGUGGCGGAAGGGUUAGUAAUGUCUGUGAAACUUCCUGAUGGAUGGGGAUAACUACUGGACACGGUUGCUACUACCGCAUACCAUCAGAUAUGCCCAGAUGGGAUGAGCUAGUUGUUGUGGUAACGGCUCACCAAGGCGACGAUCCCUACCUGGUCUGAGAGGAUGACCAGCCACACUGGAACGGAGACACGGUCCAGACUCCGACGGGAGGCAGCAGUGGGGAAUAUUGCACAAUGGGCGCAAGCCUGAUGCAGCCAUGCCGCGUGUAUGAAGAAGGCCUUCGGGUUGUAAAGUACUUUCGUCGGGGAGGCGUUACCCGCAGAAGAAGCACCGGCUAACUCCGUGCCAGCAGCCGCGGUAAUAC
rnacentral:rRNA from 1 species